rnacentral:misc_RNA from 1 species
UUGAUUGUGUCAUUUUAAAUGACUACCUUCUUUAUAUAUAAACCCCUGUUUAAAAAUGUUUACUAGAAUGUUUAUGUAGUCUUUUUACUACAAAAUUUGAAAGCUUUAUUA